AGAUGCAUGAAGUUGAUUUCCUCCGUCUUGGGCGAAUAUCACGUAUUCAUUCUGAUUUGAAGUCAUUUGCUGAUGAGAUUGUAACUCGCAGACUUAACAGCGUGUCAUCAUUGUCUGAAUUUUAUCAGAGUAAGCUUGUUGUUGCCACCACAUGCUUGGGAAUCAACCAUGUCCUGUUUUCCAAACGAACCUUCGAUUUUUGCAUAAUUGAUGAAGCUUCACAGGUUCUUCAGGUUGCAGCUUUCGGACCACUGUUCCAUGCCUCUCGUUUUGUGUUAGUUGGAGAUCCUCAGCAACUACCACCAGUAGUCCAGAGUAAACAA